GACGAACGCUGGCGGCGUGCUUAACACAUGCAAGUCGAGCGGUAAGGCCCUUUCGGGGGUACACGAGCGGCGAACGGGUGAGUAACACGUGGGUGACCUGCCCUCAGCUCUGGGAUAAGCCUGGGAAACCGGGUCUAAUACUGGAUAUGACUCCAUGACGCAUGUUGUGGGGUGGAAAGCCUUGUGCGGCUGAGGAUGGGCCCGCGGCCUAUCAGCUUGUUGGUGGGGUGANGGCCUACCAAGGCGACGACGGGUAGCCGGCCUGAGAGGGCGACCGGCCACACUGGGACUGAGACACGGCCCAGACUCCUACGGGAGGCAGCAGUGGGGAAUAUUGCGCAAUGGGCGAAAGCCUGACGCAGCGACGCCGCGUGUGGGAUGAAGGUCUUCGGAUUGUAAACCACUGUCGCGAGGGACGAAGCUCUGACGGUACCUCGAAAGGAAG
rnacentral:rRNA from 1 species